rnacentral:rRNA from 1 species
UAGGGAAUAUUGCAAAAUGGGCGAAAGCCCGAUGCAGCAACGCCGCGUGGGCGAUGAAGGCCUUCGGGUCGUAAAGCCCUUUUUGAGGGGAUGAGGAAGGACAGUACCCUCAGAAUAAGCCUCGGCUAACUACGUGCCAGCAGCCGCGGUAAAACGUAGGAGGCGAGCGUUAUCCGGAUUUACCGGGCGUAAAGCGCGUGCAGGCGGAUUGGAGAGUUGGAUGUGAAAGCUCCCGGCUUAACUGGGAGAGGUCGUUCAAUACUUCCAGUCUUGAGUGCAGUAGAGGGAAGUGGAAUUCCGGGUGUAGUGGUGAAAUGCGUAGAUAUCCGGAGGAACACCAGUGGCGAAAGCGGCUUCCUGGACUGUAACUGACGCUCAGACGCGAAAGCUAGGGUAGCAAACG